CUAGUGAAUAAGGGGUGGGCAAGUUCUGGUGUCAGCCGCCGCGGUAAAACCAGCACCUCAAGUGGUCAGGAUGAUUAUUGGGCCUAAAGCAUCCGUAGCCGGCUCUGUAAGUUUUCGGUUAAAUCCACGUGCUCAACGCAUGGGCUGCCGAAAAUACUGCACAGCUAGGGAGUGGGAGAGGUAGACGGUACUCAAUAGGAAGGGGUAAAAUCCUUUGAUCUAUUGAUGACCACCUGUGGCGAAGGCGGUCUACCAGAACACGUUCGACGGUGAGGGAUGAAAGCUGGGGGAGCAAACCGGAUUAGAUACCCGGGUAGUCCCAGCUGUAAACGAUGCAGACUCGAUGAUGCAUUGGCAUAUAGCCAGUGCAGUGUCGCAGGGAAGCCGUUAAGUCUGCCGCCUGGGAAGUACGUACGCAAGUAUGAAACUUAAAGGAAUUGGCGGGGGAGCACCACCAAGGGUGAAG
rnacentral:rRNA from 1 species